UACACUCCUGCGGGAGGCAGCAGUGGGGAAUUUUGGACAAUGGGCGAAAGCCUGAUCCAGCAAUGCCGCGUGAGUGAAGAAGGCCUUCGGGUUGUAAAGCUCUUUUGUCAGGGAAGAAACGGUGAGAGCUAAUAUCUCUUGCUAAUGACGGUACCUGAAGAAUAAGCACCGGCUAACUACGUGCCAGCAGCCGCGGUAAUACGUAGGGUGCAAGCGUUAAUCGGAAUUACUGGGCGUAAAGCGUGCGCAGGCGGUUUUGUAAGUCUGAUGUGAAAUCCCCGGGCUCAACCUGGGAAUUGCAUUGGAGACUGCAAGGCUAGAAUCUGGCAGAGGGGGGUAGAAUUCCACGUGUAGCAGUGAAAUGCGUAGAUAUGUGGAGGAACACCGAUGGCGAAGGCAGCCCCCUGGGUCAAGAUUGACGCUCAUGCACGAAAGCGUGGGGAGCAAACAGGAUUAGAAACCCCGGUAGUCCCA
rnacentral:rRNA from 1 species